CUUCAGAUGAUAUGUUGGGAGGAGGCUGGAGCUGGAAGAGCAACUGUGACAUUUGUGAUCACCAUGUGGUGAGCAGAGGAAACGCCCUUCCCUUCCACCCUCAUGUCAGGAGCCUGUGCUCCAGGAGCAAAGUCCAUGAAGGAUGAGCAGAAACACAAACUCCUCUGACCACCCAGUUUUCAAAUGUUGGAGUUUUGGGCCCUAAAUGCAGG